UAGACUAUUUGACACCACCAAUAGGCCGAGGCAGCUAUAAUGACAUCAUCCAGUUCAUGGAGGCGAGCGACAAGGCCCUCCAGGCGGGCCCCGCCCCCCAACCGGCCGCCCCCGCGCCCUUCAGCACCUACCCCGCGCGGUACUACGCAGGCUCCUCCCCCUCCGACGUGCCGCAAGACAUGUCGCUCAGCAACCUCAACUACAGCAUGGCCGGCGCCUACGGAACCCCCGACCGGCCCUCCAUGGAGGUGGACUACCACUGAGACAGGUGGGUCCCGCGGCGCCCCGGCUGACGUUGAGUUCUAUUAAUUUCACUCCGGGCACCGGCGCGAUAGAUUAUAACCGUAGGCUAAACUAGUUAUACGCACGCCGAUCCCUCACGAACAAUCACGAUUCUGUCGUUCCCGACCACCGAGCGAAUGAGACUCCAUGUGAUAAGACUUGUACAUAUAAACCGGCGAAUCGAAUCCUUGUAUAUUAUGAACCCGACUAGUAAUAGGAUACAUGCCAUUCGAAUAGGUUUACCGUAACGUAGGUGGUGGAUGUAUGGUUGCACACGGCCGCCGUAGGGCCACGUCUUUUUGUAUCGAUAUCUCUUCCUUCUCUAAAAUUAUGGUGUAAAUAUAAUUCGCAGACUGUUAAGAAAUAGGUAGUUGUGUUGAUCUUGGAAAUGGGUUAUGAAGUCUUAAUUAAAUUGAGAUAUUCCGAGUUUAAGCCACUGAACUGGCAAUAUAAAAGUGCAAAAAUAGUCGUGUAAGUGUAUAAUAGAUAUGUUUUCUUUUAUGUGAAUAUUGUGUCUGCACUUUUUGUAUCAUACCGCUCUGAGAGGGUUACGAUUUACUAGAGUAUUGUUCUAACGAGGCACAAUCCUUUAUUGUAAAUAAAUUUUAGCUAGUAUCAAUAGUUUGGUCUUUGUUGAGUAAAUUAGAGAUGAGUAGGCAUGGAUAAUUUAAUUCGAUCGUUUGAGAUUCCGUAUAAGCCGCCCGCGCGGGACUAAUGUACAAACGGCGCCGGAGGCUCCUCGGAGCCGCGGCGUGCGGUAGAUAAUUACUGAAUAGGGAAAAUUAUGAUGUUGGAUUUUUAACCGCUAGUUGUUAGAACUAGGCAGCGAACGAAGAUAGAUAGAAUUAUUAUUCCUUGGUCUAGUGUCUUGUUUCCGAGAGACUUCCGUUCACGACCUGACUGAUUGUCCGAUAGGAUAUUUCGAGUUUUAUUUUUGAUCGUUGGUUAGGUUACUAAUUUUUUAAAAUUUUAUUAAUAUGCUAAGGCACAUGAACUACUUAAUCUUGAAUUCUGUUUGCACUUUUGAUGGUGUUUUCUAUAUCAACGAUGAAAUGAAGUUUAUGGAUAGUGUUAUUGUGGAUAUUAAUCGAAAGCUAUCAAUUUACCUGAGAUUUGUUACAAAAUAUAUGACUUUUUAAUACCUGAGCUGGCUCGAUGACAGUUCCACUGUAUGUGGAGUGAUGUUUUUAAAUAUUUUGUAACGAAAUUGUUUCGCGGUGGACUGGGUUGCUUUCUGUUGUGUCGUGGUGUAACGGGUAUUGACAGUUCUUGCGCCUUAUUCACAUGGAGAUUUGAUGAGAGUGUUAUUAUUACGUUAUAUCAAAUUGUGGCUAUAGACGUAAUAUAUUGAUAAUUUUACUAUAUUGCAUGUACAUUGGAUUCCAAAACGUUUUUUACAGAAUAAUGACAUUAUUAUAAAAACUGAUGUCGAAGAAGUUAUGUUAUAAUCGACGCGACCUCAGUGUGGUCUAAGGACAUGUACCCAUAGAUACAGCCCUGCUACACAUUUCUAAAGCGCAUACUCAAGAGAAACCUAGUUACGGUAUUUUCGAAUUUACCGAUUCCAGAACGUUUACUGUCAUUGCUUUCUCCAUAAAACCAUGUCACAAGAUUGUAGCUGGGCUGCAGUUUGUUUCAGUCAAGCCAGUGCCGAUGGAAGAACGACAUGUCAGAAAUGCGAAAUCGUCAAUUUUGUAUGGAUUACAUCAGUUUUUCGCAAUUUUGCCCUUCGUUUUUUAUUAGCACCAGCUUGCUUGAAACCAACUAUACCUCGUAAUUCCGUUUCACGCGGUGUGACCUAAUAUCUGGGCUAUCACGUAAUAUGGUUUUCUAACGGAUAAGGGCUGUGGCACUCAACCGAACGGUUCACCUAUGUAGAAAAUCACGUAUGUGAUUGUCUAGUUUGAACUGGAUGACGUUCAUCACAAAUUACGAGUGUUAAUUCUCAUUAGCUUAUUUGUUAACGGGUCAACCGCAUUUGGAUGUGUGCCCUAGCCCUUACUGGAUAAUAGAACUACUGUCAGGAGUUAAAUUAUGCAGUAAAUUCGUUAUUCUUUAAAUGUUAACCCAGAUAUUAGCAUCUCAUAACUGCAUAAAAAACGAUAUUUUCAGACAGCUUUACUAUUUUUUAAGGGUUUUGUUAUAAUAAUUUCCGAUAAGUGUUUGUACGCGGUUGUAUCUAAGAAUUUAUAACGAUAAUUUGUGGGGUUUUAUUUUUUAUUUAAAAGACUAGGGACUUUACGUGUUCUUUUGUACAGCUAUAUUGAACCUUAUUGCCUAAAUUAUAUUUACGUAACUUAUUGAUCUAUGUAUGUACUAUGUGUAGCUCUAAAUUGCAUUUCGUUAUGAAAAUUCAUCUUUUAUAUCACAUCUGUGUUUUGAAUAUAAUAUGUUGUUUUAGACUAUCGCCAGAGUUUGAUAUCUUGAGAAAUUAUUAUUGUAUAUGUAACGUGUAAUUAUGUUAUAAAGUAUUACGUGUAAUUAUUAAAAGAAGACAAUUUAAAUAA